rnacentral:tRNA from 3 species
GUUUUUAUAGUUUAAAAUAAAACAUUGGUCUUGUAAACCAAAAAUAAAUUAUUAUUUUAAAAACU